UACAUGAAAACGUAGUUGGUCCUCAUUC
rnacentral:piRNA from 1 species